rnacentral:rRNA from 1 species
CGAGCGCAACCCUCGUCGUAUGUUAUAUUGUGUCAUACGAGACUGCCGGUAAAAAGACCGGAGGAAGGUGAGGAUGAUGUCAAGUCAGCAUGACCUUUAUAUCCAGGGCUACACACACGCUACAAUGGUCUGUACAAUGGGUAGCCAAGCCGCGAGGCGGAGCCAAUCCUGAAAGCAGGCCUCAGUUCAGAUUGCAGUCUGCAACUCGACUGCAUGAAGCCGGAGUUGCUAGUAAACGCGCGUCAGCUAUAGUGCGUUGAAUACGUUCUCGGGCCUU